rnacentral:lncRNA from 1 species
CAGGGAUGGAGCAGUUGUGUCUGGUAUUUUAGCUCAUGAUGGUGUAUUUGGAACACGUUUCAUCUGUAUGUUCAAGUAUGGGUUCCAUUUUGUUUUAGGGGUAGAGGUAUAAGUAUUUCCUCCUCCUUGAUCUGUGUUGUUCCCAAGAAAGAGGACCCUGAAUCACAGGCAGACACACAUCUGCUAGAACAAUAAGUCAAACUAAGCUCUGAAAGACAAGGCAUCAGUUAAACGUGGCCGAACUUUCCUUCUGGAUACCUACAGUGCCUUCAAGAGGCUCUUGGUGAUAUAUGUGGGAUUUCUGUGCCUAGCUAACAUGAACACUGAAGAAAGAAGAGAGCCCUUUAGUUUUCUCCUGCCUGUGUAAAUCUUCAGAUGUUCUGAGCUGUCUUUUGAUACUCUUCAGAGGAAUAGCUGGAGCCUGCUCGAGAAUUUAAGUGUGAUAAUCCCAUGUUGCUAGUAGUUUUAUAAGUAAU